GCCCUGGAAGACUGACUGGGUGGAGGGUGAAGGUGCUGAGAGUGGAGCUGUUCUGUGUUUGAGAGUAAAUGUGGAUGAACAUCCCUUACCCCUUGCUGAUGGAGCACUGUGGUGUCCCUGCCUGCCCUUCACACCAAAUGGGCUUGAAAGAUGAGCGUGCCUCUGCCUGACAGCUUUCAGAGCGAGCCAGCCCUGCCAGCCAAAGCAGAUUCUCUGUGCCUGCUUCCAAUCAGCACGAGCUGAAACAACUGGUGGCAGAGUGGGGUGUCUCUACAGUCCUAGCCACGAAGAGAGCAUUUGCAGGAGAUGAAACAUCCUCCUGCUUGCAGCCCAGGGAAGAGGCUGGAGCUGGGCUUCUUUCUCCACAACUGUAGAACUACGGUGAAAUGAGGAUUCUUUGUUCAUGUGUCAUUGGCUUCUCUGAGGAAAACAGCGACCAGGAGAUGAGACUUGGGGAGAAAGGACACUUGGAACACCUGUACCAAAAGGGAGGUGAAGAAACCUGUGAGCAUUCCCUGCCUCUGCUGAUCUUACAUAGAUUCUAAACACAGGUCUGAACGCAAGCUCGAUGGCAACUCUCUGCUCCGUCUGCCAGGGCUCCAGCUCCAACCGCUCCUCUCCAUCCUCCACCUUCUUUUUCCAAAGUAACAAAGCCAUUGGAUUUCCUCCCACCCCUUCCCUGCGCCUCCCCUCCCCCUCGCUGGCACCGGGGUUAUUUAUACAGAAUGUGGAAACAAUUUGCAGGAAAGUGAACAAUGUAAGUGGGAGUGAGGGAAGGGAGGCAAGUUUGCAGUGCACGCUGAGAGCCCCAGCAGUGAAACGCUGCUUUUUGGGGAGCACAGGGAGCAGACUGUUUUUCUUUCUCCCUUCUCCCCUCUCUCACCGUCUCCCUGAGCUCCUUCCAUCCUGCUGGAGUCGAGG